GGGGAAGGAAUUUGAUGGGCCUGAAAAGUGGUUCUUGGGGAGAGUUGGAGGCGCUGCAAAACCUCCCCGCCCUGGCCCGUCCCUCCCUUCCCUUCUCUCCUCCCCUCUCACCUCUUGACUUCCCACCAGACCAGGAGAGGAGACAAAGACUGUAGGAGGGGAGCGUGCAAGGGCCUGCCUUGGACGCUGCGGAGUCCAACGCCAUGCGACCGAAAAAUGAAAUCUAAACAUUUACCCAGAGCCCCGGGCGAGAGAUGUGCCAUCCUGACCCUGACAAACAAGCCACCUGUGUCGGUGCCUCACCUGCUUCAGGCCAGGCUGCUAUCCUUACAGCAACCCCCAGAAUCACAGAGGGGAAAUUAUAUCUCUGGUGAAUUCCUCAGAGAAGGACAUGAACAUAAGAGAGAUUAGAUGACCAUAUUGCAGAGAUAUUGGGGCUUCAAACUGGGUAUAAAAGGAGUUAUCAAGAAACCACUCCCUCACCUGUGAGAGACUCCAACUUGCCGGCUGUCCAAGGAAGACAAAAUGGAGCAUUGCCCCACGGCCCAGUAAGGGAGAUUCCUGUUAUGCAUGCCUGCCAAUUCUUAAGAUGAUGAGCACUGGAUUUGAUUAAAAGCGGGUUUUCUCACACAUAACCCCGCCCACCAGCCAGCCAAACUGCAGAUGAGCACCAUGUAUGCCAAACAAAUGUUGUUGGCAGAGGAUGAGCAAGGCUUUGUCCAACCCUCCUCUACGGGUUUGGUGCUGGAAGCCCAUCCGGAUCCCGGCUUCUCCACCCAGAUGCUGAAGCCCCUCCACCCUGUCAUGCUCCUUUCUCAUCUGGCAUUCCAGGGAUCCCACGUGAGCCCAGCUCCUGGUCCUCUGCUCUGGACAUUUGUCUGUGGUAACAUGGCUACAUCUGCUUUUCUCCCAGAGGCUCCAUGGUAGCCCUUACCUGAUCUUCAGAUUUGAGACCUAAUUUUCUGGAAAGAUAUCACUCAAGAUCUUGAACCAGGAGGAAUGGAACUUUCACUGCUCUCUGAACCGCUAUAUUGCUGCAAAACUACAUGUAGUACAACCUUGGGUUUAUGUUUCACAGUUAAAAAAAUUAUAAGCCUUACUCUGAAUGGAAAUCCAUUCUAGUGGGAGACCUUAAACCAGGGUUCCAUGAAAGCCCCCAGAAGCAGAUGACACUGCAAAGGAGACUGCUUUCACAAGACUCUCAGAACAGGUAAAU